GUCUUGCCACAUUGAAGAGUUUUGCUGCAAGGACAUUGGUGAGACUGGCCACCUUGCUGUCUGUCCCUGGACUGACUCCACUAUUCCUUGAUGUCCAGCUAACAGCUGAAGAGAACCACCAGAGAAGGACAACAUCUGCUCUUUGGCUAAGAGAAGUUUCAUGGCAUCAGAGGUAUUUUGGGGCUUGUGGUUGCCCUAGGAUUGUGUGAUUUGCUUAUUGUGUUUAAUUAGUGUGCAUUGAAUGCUAGUUGAGGUGCUCUAGCACACCUGAAACUUUUACAUUAAGUGUUUAUAUUUGAUGAUUGGUGUGAUUGAAUAUAUAUGCUUGCAUUUAAAGACAAUUUGCCUCUGAGUAAUUAUUAAUAGCGCCACUUGCGACAGUCUCCUUGGUCCAUGAGAAAUGUCAUGCACUCUUACCCAACCAAAUGGUGACAGUGUAACUUGUUCCCAUUGCAACUCUCUGUCCUUGCCCUGUGCUAGAGGCAGCCCCAGCCUACCUCUAGUCUUCAGAUUUCUCUAGACCCUUCAAACUCCAUUGUAAGUUUCUCCCCAAAACUCACUUGUUUUCAACUACUAUAGUAACACAGGGCAGACCUAUACAUCACUUUUGCACAAAUGAGCAAAAGUCCGGCAUCUCAUCCUGAGAUGAGAGAGCAAAAGUCCAGCAUCUCAUCUGGAUGAGACCAUGACUCAUCUCAUGGCUAGUGCCCCAGCUUUUCUAAAGAGAUGUAGUGGCACCCCCUUUCUCCACAGAAAAGUCUUAACUGGGUUUCUCCAGAAAUCUUCACCAUGGCUGAUUUUAGUACUGUCAGCAAAAGAGUCUCUAAGAAAGAGUUCCAUGUAGAUAAACUUCCUAUUUUUGUGUUGCCCUAUCUUAGUUGGCCACUGGCCCGCAAGAAAUCAGCACUCCAGGUGCUGGACACCCCCUUACAAGUUUUUCACAAACGUAUCCAGUAUAGUAGUUUGUAGAAAUGUGCAAACAAGGCCUUGAGCUGGGCUUCACAGAGAUGUCUACAUUUUAAGAUAAGAAAAGUUACCAGUUGGGCUCCAUGGUAACAGCUGGCAGGGGGAGAAUAGAAAGGGGAGAAGAAACUCUCCCCUUCUCAGUUAUUGUCCUUGAAGGGUUAACUUGCCCAGAACAGUGAAAGAAAAACCUUCUUUUAUGUAAAUUUCUACAGACUGUGAACUUCUGAGCCCCUCCCCUUACAUGCUGGGUAUAAAAUGUUGAAACUCGGGGCUUAGGGGAUUGAUUGAUCACAGCAAAAGCUGUGCCCUCUGAACCUGGCUGCAGCCAAAUAAAACUGUUUCCUGCUAUCUUUGGUGUCCUGCCUCGUCUGUCCCUACAACAGGGAUGUCUUACUACCUCUCCUCACUUGGCUCUGUCCUAUACAGGACAUGGAUGAGAUGCUGCCCAAGUUAAGUGUCUGAAUAUGAAUUUGCCCUAAGGAAUCUCUGGUCUUUUCUAUAGGCUACUGGGAGUGAUAGUAGCUGAAUCAGAAAUUGUUUCUGUGUCAGAGUAAGGUCUGAGCACAUGUUAAAAUGGAGGGUUCCUGCCAGCCAUGGUGGCGCACACCUGUAAUCCCAGAGGCUCAGGGGGCUAAAACAGGAGAAUCGAGAGUUCAAAUCCAGCCUCAGCAAAAGCAAGGCACUAAGCAACUCGGUGAGACCAUGUCUCUAAAUAAAAUACAAAAUAGGGCUGGGGAGGUGGCUCAGUGGUUGAGUGCCCCUGAGUUCAAUCCCUGGUACCAAAAAAAAAAAAAAGGAGGGUUCCCAUUGUUGGCCUAUUAAAGAUUUAUCCUAACUUCUCAGGCAACAGGUAAAUCCUAAUAUACAUUCAUUAUAUGUUUAUUAAGAUUUAUCUUCAACUUCACUUUAUAGUUUUGUUAAACAUACAGGAUUUCUUAGUUUACUUUUAAGUGAAUGACUCAGCAAAACUGAAAUUUACAUAAUAUUCUCCAGGAUUUCUUUCUUCUUUUUUAUAACAUUAGUGGGAUGUUACAAACCUCAUGAACAAGAGUAAACAAAUUCUUGUCUUCUGUUCUUAUUCAAGGAGACUUGUGUGGUCUAACCAAAUACCACCACCAACAGAAGCUAAAAAUGAAAAACAAUUCUAAAAAUAGCAGAAGAUAAGGAAGUAGUCCACAAUAACAUGUCAAUUACAUAUUUAAAAGUAAAUGGAUGAAUUAAGAUACCCCGUCUUCCUUAACAUUUCAGCAUUUGGACAUAGAAUCAUGCAAUGUUCAAUUCCCACGUUUCAUUGGAUACAACCUAUAACCAUUGUAAUUGAUGUGUUAAGGUCUAUGUGCAUUUUUAAAUUAAUGGGUUUAAUUACAAUUGCUAGGUAGAAAAUUGCUUAUUUAAGUGUUAAGUAGAACUAGAAUUAGGAAAUGAAAAGAAGGCCUACUGACUCAUUGAAGUUACCAGAAAACACUUUUAUUUUGCUCUCAGCCAAAAUAGAAGCAAAUAAUAAACUUAGAGCUGCAUGAUAGUUAAUCAGUAUUUAUGGAUAAAUGUGGAGGGGAAAAAAGAUAAGCUCUAUUACAUCAAAUCUGGUAUAAGUAGAGAGUUUUUUUAAAAUGUGUGAAUGCUUCUGGAUGUUUAUGGUUGAAUCACAUUAAAUUUACUCUGGACAUAUCUGUUUAAAUAUACCAGAUAUGUAUGAAUUUUGUAGUAAGUAUAUUCAAAAUGUGUGCACCUAGCAGAGUUCCGUGCUCAUGCUAUAAGAGAGAUUUGUGGAAGAAAGAAGGGAGAAGUAGAAAAAGGGAAAGGAGGAAGAAGAAAGGAAGGGAAAGAGGAGAGGGAGAUUGGUUUCUGUUGUUGUUGUUUUAUUUUUUGUUUUGAUUUGUUUUGUUUUGUUUUUUGGUACUGGGAAGUGAAUCCAGGGGCGCUUAACCACUGAGCCACAUCCCAGCCCCUUUUUGUAUUUUAUUUAGAGUCAGGGUCUUGCUGAGUCUCACUAAAUUGCUAUGGAUGGCUUUGAACUCUCGAUCCUCCUGCUUCAGCCUCCCAAGCCGGUGGGUUUACAGGCUUGUGCCACCACAUCCAGCAGGAGAUUGUUUUUUUAUUACUUCAUUUCGACAUCUGAGGAAGCAUAAAUUGGCUAAUGGGUUUUUCAUGAAGACUAUUAAAAUGUUGAUUUUUUAAGAAUAUUUAUUUUUUUAGUUGUAGAUGGACACAUUUUUUAGUUCAUUUAUUUAUUUUUAUGUGGUGCUGAGGAUCCAACCCAGGGCCUCGCAUGUGCUAGGCGAGCACUCUACUGCUGAGCCACAGUUCCAGCCCUAAAAUGUUGAUUUUUGAGCCUAAUUGUGCAAAUGAAAGUAACAGUUNACAUUUUUUAGUUCAUUUAUUUAUUUUUAUGUGGUGCUGAGGAUCCAACCCAGGGCCUCGCAUGUGCUAGGCGAGCGCUCUACUGCUGAGCCACAGUUCCAGCCCUAAAAUGUUGAUUUUUGAGCCUAAUUGUGCAAAUGAAAGUAACAGUUUAAUAAAAGCAUAUUAUGGUAAUAAUUAAAGGGAUGACAAUGCAAUACGCCUUUGAAAAAGGUAUGAUGAGCAUUUGUUUUUUGUAUUUUUGUUUAUAACUCUGACAUCAGAAUUAACUUUGUAACAUUCCGAAUAUCAAGUUAUCUGUUCAUUCUCCUAAAAACCCCAUUUUCCAAGUCAUUUGAAUUUAAUUCAGAAUGUAUUUAAACACAAAGUCCUAUUAAUUAAUAGAGAGCAAACAUUACAUUAAGAAAUCCAAUGCAGACUGAAUGUUGAAAGGAAACCUGAUAAGACAGAAUUGCAAGAUAAGAUAACAUAUUAGUCAUUCUUUUCAAUCUUAUGGGAAGAUUUCAAUAUUAUUUUGUGACUGCAUAAGAGUCUUAGAUGCAAAUGCUGAGAGGGGCAUAGCCAUGGUUCUGUGAGAUUCAACUAAAGACUACAUUCUUCAAACUUCUCACUCUCCCCCUCCAUUGAAUAAAACCACCGUCCAACCUACUGUUCAUUUCCCACAUGGUAUGAUCCUUCUCUUGUGGAGAAAUCCACAAGAAAAUAAAGAAAAACAUUAAGAAAUAGCUUCAUGGCCAAAGUCACCCUUCCCUUCAGGGUGUUCCCUUGGUAUUUUCUAUAUCAUCUAGCACUGCUCUUCAAACACCAUGAUUUUAAUUUCUUGUCCCCAGAAUACAGAUUGCACAUACAUAGAGUUCAGAUUCAUUUAGGAAUCAUUGUGUCCACACUAAUGAAGCUAUGUUAGACAUUACAAUUAGAACUGAACAAAAUAGAUGUGAUCCCUGAAUUUUAGAAUGAUUUCCUCUUUUUUUUUUUUCUUCUUGAUACUGGGAUUGAACUCAGGGGCACUCGACCAUUGAGCCACGUCCCCAGUGCUAUUUUGAAUUUUAUUUAGAGACAGGGUCUCAAGAAUUGCUUAGUUCCUCAACUUUGCAGAGGCUGGCUUUGAACUGGCGAUCCUACUGUCUCAGCCUCCCUAGCCACUGGGAUUACAGGCACGCACCACCGUGCCUGAUUUGGUUUCACCUUUUGAGAAAGAGUCAUUACAUAAAUCAAUAGGAAAAAAAUAGGAGAUUGAAAUGUGUUAUAAAGAAAGAAACUAGGGGUACUGGGACCAGAAGAGCAGGGGAUAGAGAAUCAGGCUGAGAGUUUUACAGAACUUCUCUGAGGAACCAAUGUUUCAUUAAGGCCAUGACUAGAAGUUAUACAGAUUAUUCUGAUUAAAGUGAGAAGAGGUGUGUGCCUGCUAGAUAGGAUAGUUUGGGGGAAGCCUAGGGCUUAAGGGACUAGAAUACAUGGGGCAAGAGGUGAGAGUGAAGGAGUCGGGUCCUCAGGAGCCCAAAUACUGUGGGGUCUAGAGGCCACAUUAGAGAUAUUCUAUUCUAUUCUAUCCAUAAACCACUGAAGAUUUUAAGUAGGUGACUGAUGUGAUUUGGGUUCUGUGCCUUGAAUAUUUACAGACAAAUAGAUUAAAUAUAAACAAUGAAUCAAUGAUACAGUGCAUCUAUGCCAUUUCUGAAUUCUGCCAACCUCAGGAAAUUAAUUUGAUAUAACUUUUUCUUAAGAAACAGAUGGUAGGAAUUGGUUAAUUUUUAGUCAUUUACCAAUCAUUGUCCCUUUCUGCCAGUCCUUCAUUUUAUUUGGGGGAAUAUGUUAUGAUGUUUAAUCUUGCAAGUCAACUUGUCUGGGCUAUCGAAUCCUAUUGGUCUAUCGACUAUUUUAAUAAAAAGACCCAUAAUAACACUCCCGCAAAGACCUUCUCAAAUCGAAAACUUGGGUAUAUAACUAGUUAUCCUACACCCACCUGUAGUAGGUUACUUACCCCUCCCAAAUAGAACAAAAAAAGGCAGAGAAAGGGUGAAUUCACUCUUAUCUUGAGCUGGAAGAGCAGCCAUUUUCUCCUGUUCUGGGACACUGGAGCUCUGGGUUCUCAGGUCUCUGGAUUCUAGGAUUUACACUAGGAUCCAGUCCCUCUCUCCAUUUUCAAACCUUUGACCUUUGUCCUCAGACUAAAUUACACCACUAGCUUUCCUGGUUUUCCAGCUUGUGGACAGCAUAUUGUAGGACAUCCUGGCCUUCAUAAUCAUAUAAGCCAAUUCCCAUAAUCUCCUUUUAGGUAUCUCCAUAUCCCCUUGGUCUGCUUCUCUGGAGAAUGCUGACUAAUACCUACACCUCCCUACUAUGAGUAUUCUUGGUGUCUCAUUCAUCCUUUACCAGGAGGCAGACAUGAAAAACCAAGCCAUUCCAACUGGACUUUCUCCCAGGAAUUAGGACCUUUGUUGAGUAAUUACUAGCAGGGAAAAUGUUUGAAGGAAUUCAAUUCAGACUUGGAAAUUUUAAAAGAUUGCAUGUAUUCCAGGCCUUAGUGCCCAUGACUUCCGGGGCACCUGCCCUGUCUCAAGCUUGAGUCCUGAACAUUUCAUCUUUCAUCCACCAUUGCAUUGGGGAUAUAGCUCAGUUGGUAGAGUGCUUGCCUCGCCUGUACAAGGCCUUGGGUUCAAUCCCCAGCAACAACAACAACAACAAAAAAGUUCCAUCAGUAAAUUCACUUUUUCCCUAAAAUUACUUUGUUACUUACAAAACAAAAAUCAUCGUAAUUGAUCUUGAGAAUCUAUUUUAGCUCUGAAUGGUAAUCACAUUUGGGUCUCUAGUUUCAAAAACGUCUCUAAAGAUAUACUACUUGUACAUUUCCAAUCUAAUGAAAACUUGAACUUUUUUUAUCAAGUUGAGGGGCUGGAGCUAUAGCUUAGUUGGUAGAGUGCUUGCCUCACAUGCACAAGGCCCUGGGUUCAAUCCCCAGCACCACAGGAAAAAAAAAAAAAAACAACUUUGCCUCUUUAUUAGGGUUUUGGAAAACACUGUCCAUCUCAAAGCAUCUAAAGAACCCUGCAGUAAAGAGAUCCGAGUAUUUCCUCAACAUUUCCAAAUGUUUCUGAUCAUGACAACCCUUUCUCUUGCAAAACCUAUUCAAGAACUAGCAUUUUGUGGAGCCCACUUUGAGAAGUUGCUUCUNAGUUUCAUCUUUGCCCUUUGUUCUUUAUUUUGUUUUAUGUAUUUUACAAUGAAAGAUCACUCUUCUUUCUUUUUUUUUUUUAAUGUUUAUUUUUUAGUUUUCGGCAGACACAACAUCUUUGUUUGUGUGUGGUGCUGAGGAUCGAACCUGGGCUGCACGCAUGAGCGCGCUACCGCUUGAGCCACAUCCCCAGCCCCUACUCUUCUUUCUUUCAACAGUAUUUUCCAAAGAACAUUAGCUCCAUGCAAUGCUUCCUGAUUUAAAAAAAGCAUCAGUAGUUCUUACGUAGAGUGAAUGGCAGUAAAGACUUUGCUUCUUGGGCUGGGGCUAUAGUUCAGUUGGUAGAGUGCUUGCCUCACACAUGCACAAGGCCCUGGAUUCAAUCCCCAGCACCACAGGAAAAAAAAAAAAAAACAACUUUGCCUCUUUAUUAGGGUUUUGGAAAACACUGUCCAUCUCAAAGCAUCUAAAGAACCCUGCAGUAAAGAGAUCCGAGUAUUUCCUCAACAUUUCCAAAUGUUUCUGAUCAUGACAACCCUUUCUCUUGCAAAACCUAUUCAAGAACUAGCAUUUUGUGGAGCCCACUUUGAGAAGUUGCUUCUGAAGCUUGAAGCAAAGUAAAAGUGGAAUUUUUCAUGCUCUCUCAGCUGUCUGUUAACACAGCCUCAUGUUCAUUUGGCAGUGGGGUAAUCCCUUUUCCUGAUUCUCCUGCUUCAAAUACACCUUAAAUAUUGUUUUACUUAUUGUUCUUUUUGGAUUUUUUAAAAUAUGGUAUGAACCCAGGGAUGGUUAAUCACUGAGCCACAUCACCAGCCCUUUUUAUUUUUUAUUUUGAGACAGGGUCUCACUAGGCUGCUUAUAGCCUCGCUAGGUUGUUAAACUGGCUUUAAACCUGAAAUCCUCCUGCCUCAGCCUCGUGAGUAUCUAGGAUAACAGACAUGUGCCAUCAUGCUCUGUAUCUUUUUUAGAAUUUUUAAGGGUCUCAGUGUCCCAGCUUAUACUACUCUUUGGUAUUUAUUCUAGAUAUGUCCUUUGAAAUGCCUCUUAUCCUUGAAAUGCCUCUGAGUAUGCCCAUCAACAUGCUCUGAGAGUUGCCACACUAUUUAUGUUCAUUUGUUUUAUUUCUUUUUCUCUGUGUGUUCUCUGAUUGUCCUUAAAAUUAGGAGGUGGUGUGGUCGGGAGAAAGGUUAACAUUGAGCUCAUGCUGGUCUUUGCUGGCACAUGUGUGAGUAGGCACAUGCACAGACACAAACACAUAUAGGAAAAGCAUGGUCUUUCUCAAGGUCACCUCAAAGACAUCUGAUUGCCUUGGGAUGGUCCAAACUCCCAAACUAAGGUGAAAGAUGUGGAUGGAGAGUGAGUUAUGGGGACAGAUCAUCUCUCUCCCAGCUGGGCUUGACAAAUCUAACAAGUCCAUGAGAUGGAAGGCCAGGGGUGCCAGGGAAAGGUCAAGUUGGACAGGAACAUGAGUAUUAGCAGUGUGGGCCUGGAUCUUGGAACAAGUAAUUUCAGCUAAACUGCUGACUAUUGUGUCCUUAACUCUUCAAUCAUUUGCUAAUUAAUUUAUUUGACUAGCUCUAUUGAGCAACUACUCUGUUAAGACACUGUGCUUGGUUCAUGACUUCAAAGAACUCACUGUCAUAUUGGGCCACUAGGAACCUACAUUAAAAUGUACAAUGUAAACUAGGAAGCAUUCUGAUAGAAGUGCAAAAAAAAGUUUUAUUUUUCUGCAUUAACCUAUAUAUUUAAAUUAUAGAGUAUAAUUUAAGCUGUGCUACUCUAAAAUACAUUUUUUCAUGAAUGUGCCUUCAAUUUUCUCUAGUAGCUUAUAUUUAUUCAUGCUCAUUGCUUUAUAGCAUUUUUGGUUUUAUUUUUGCUUGCUUGUUUUGUUGCAUGCCUUUUGUUUGUGUGUGUUUUUGUUGUGGUUAUUGUUGUUUUGGGUGCUGGGGAAUAAACUCAGAAUGAUGCCUGUAAUAUGUUCAUUAUAACACUCUCCUUGCACAUGUGAGGCAAGCUUUUUAUCCUCGAGCUUUAUGUCCAUCAAUAUAGCAUUUUAAAUGGAAUUUCACUGCAAAAAUGUAAUGUAAAAAUUUCUUUAUCUUUUUAAAAUUUUUAUUUGUUCUUUCUAGUUAUCCAUGACAGUAAAAUGUAUUUUGACAUAUUGUAUAUACAUGGAGUACAAUUUCCCAUUCUUGUGGUUGUACACAAUAUGGAGUUAUACUGGUCAGAUAUUCAUAUAUGGUAAUGCAAAAUUUAAGUUGCCAAAAAUAUUUGCUUUUAAAUAAAAUAACCAUUCUGUUGAUGACUAUUUGGAUAAUUUUAAUUUAAUUUUUUUUUUUGCAUAUUGCAGUAAACUUUCUUCUGCUUAUCUAAUGGAAGUGAAAUAUUUUAAUAAUACCAUUGUGCCAAUUGUGGUUUUAACUCCAUUUAUUUCUCUGAUUGGCAGUGAGGUUGAACAUCUUUUACUUAUGGGCAAUUUGGGAUUCUAUACAUUUUUUAUACUUCCUUUCCUUGAAAUCUAGUACAGGACAGGUAGAGACACACCUCCCAUAAGUAGCUGAUUCUCCUCACCAUUACCAUGUUGCUUGGUUUGCUAACACUAGUAUGAGUUCCUACCUUCUAGGUUGGUAUCACCUGUGCAAAUGGAUGGUGGGUUUUUUGGUAGACCUAGUAGUAUCUUUGAUGCCUGCAAUGUGUUCAUUAUAACAUACUCCUAAAACUUUUUUAAUGCAGAUUUAAUCUGCAGGAUUGAACCCUAACAUUACUCCACUGGAGCCCUGUGAAGUCUUCAAGAUGGGCGAGAGGCUUUUCAUGGAUACCCAAGUUGCUGGGUAGGUAUGGGGAGGUAGCCAACGCCUCCAUAGGGGGUUCUUCUUCCUGCCAAGGAGAGUGUAAACCACCCAAGAAAUUAAAGUCUAGAAUAAUUAGUGAAGAACAAAAGACAAAGUCAGAAUUAGGUUUAAAGAACUGGAAUACCUGAUAGGUCCAGUCCACAAAGGAGCUGGAGCUAGACAAUUAGAAAAUGGCUCCUGUGGUUUAUUUAAGGAGGUACGUCAAAGGCAGGAGUAAGGUUUCAAGGUUGGAGUCUUGCUUCAUGAUUCUUGUAGUCAACACAUUGAUUGGCAUCUUGGCAGGUUACACCUAUCUCAGAGGGGCUGUGUGGCUGGGUGGUUAUAGUAGGUCACCCCAUUUCCAGUGCUAUGUGGGACUAGGCAGAGAAGAAUAGGGCUCACAAUGUCUUUGGGCUGUCAGCCAGAGGAAAUGUCCACUGAAAGUUCCCAGACACCAGAUUAUCCUAUUCACUAGGCAACCAUGUGCAACACAGUCCACACACAUUUCACGGACAGCUCUCAAGAGGUAAGGUUCCACUCUAAAAAGAUGAACCAUUCUCAAGCAUGAUAUUUCUUCUUUGCUAACUUGAAGCAUCACCUGUACAUCAAGACCUUUGCUGCCCAGAUCCACCUGUAAACUAGACCCUCUUAGAUAUCAUCAACAAUUGGGUGCAAUUACAUCAAGUAUGCUCCUCCCCUUUGGAACACCAACUUGGAUCCACUGGCUAGCAGCUUGUGGGACAGAGCCAGAGCCAUAUCAUGUUUCUGAGUCUGACUUUAGCCUCCACUUUCCAAAAACUAGACACUGAGAUCUGCAUGUUCUGAGGCUGCCUUGCUAGAAUAUGCUGUCCUUUUCCCUCAGCUAUAAAUGUCCCAAUUAAAUACCAUUUUUUAUCAAGUUCAACUUUCAAGCAAAUGAGACUUGUUUUACUUCUUUGAAAGCAAACAUGAGAAGAUGACAGUGCUACACAUCUUUAUUAAAAGAUAAAGUGGGACUAAAAUCUCUUCUAUCCAAUUGGCCCUUAUGAAUUAUAGUUGUUUUUUUUUUUUGGUCUGGGGCAUAAAAAUGUUUCAACCCAAGCCAGACACUCAUUUUAAAUCACUUUGGUGAUGUUAGGCAAGUAUCUCUUUUAACAUUUAGGUAAGAAAAAGAUCAAGUCUGAUACUUCAAUCGAUUUUUAUAUCUUAGGUCAGCAUAUUUCUUCUGAUUUGGAUAUGUGGAAAUUCUGUGGCAUUUAAUUUACAAAAUGGAUCAUUCAGUAAGACAGCAAUGUGGAUAGAAAGUUCUAUAGAACACCACAGCAUGAGGAAGCAAGUGAUUUUCUGCCAAGCUCACUCCAGGUACCCAAACAUGGCCCAGUUCUACACUAGAAGAGAAAAGCACAACAAUCCUCUAAUCCUGGACCUUCUUCCUGUUUUUAUGCACAAAACUGUACCCCCAACUGCUGCCCUUGACUUCUUUUCCCAACCCCUGCUUUUCAAGAGCCUGACUAUAUUCUUAGAUCCCAUUUGUCUUAAGUAUGUUACGCAGAUUCUGAAAUUCUGAGAAAAGGAACCACUGUUCCUUUAGGAAAUGUUCCAAUGUCACUUAGAACAAAUCAUUUACAAGCUCUAAGUGGUUUUAUAAUAUAUCUUAGGAAAAAAAAAAAAAGAUCAAGUUGCACAUCAGGAAGCUUUCAGAGAGAACAUUAUCACAGCGAAUCACCAGUUGUGUUUUAUUACCUUGGCAGAACAAAUGAAGAAGAAAUAUUUGUUCCCAUAAAAGCACAGAAUUCUGAGAUUUGACUUGGUGGAUAGUGAAAGGAUUCUGAUCACUACCCUCUGCAAUAUGACCUUUUUCAUAUUUUUGGGAUUCAAGUCUCAACCCUAAAGUUAGAGGAUUAGCCACAGUUCUGAAUUCUUGAGGUUUGGAUAUUGCAUGCAAAAGCAUUAAAAAGUGAACAAUGGUUUCUUAAAAGCAAGUUUUAAAGAAUUUUUUUUAAAGGCUUUCUAUAGUUGUUUUACUAUUAACUUGGCCACCCUCAUUUUUAUGUAAACUUUGAGUGUAGAUUGCCCUGACAAGUGUUCCAAGUCAGUGUUCUCACACAAAGGUGAUAUUUCUGAAGGAUAGAGAGUGAGAUACACAUGGCCCUGUGCCUAGCUGGAGGUGGGGAGGCAUAAGUUUUAUGUACUGAUCAAACUCUGGCAGCACACCAUAAAAAUUCAUGGGACACCCUUUUGCCAUGCACGCAGAUGCAGAACCACUGCCUGAGGUUUAGCUUGAAAAACCAGCUGCUCCUGUCUAACAAGGAGACCACAGUUGGCCGAGGGUCUCAGCUGAUUAGUAUAGGUCAGUUUUUCCAAGUGCCUCACAAACAAGCGAUGAGUUUAAUAAUAUAUGGACAGAGCAGCAGCUAAAAAAAUUAUGUGGCUCCUUUUGAAAUUUUCUUGAAUUCUUCUGAUUGCGUGGAGAGAAAAUUUCAGUUUAGUUCUGCUGAGAUUUUGCCAUCUCUCCUCUUAAGAGCAAUGAGUAAGAGAUAGAGGGUAGAGAGAGAAGGAGAGAGAAAAUCAUGACUGCCUGUUCUUUUAUUACAUAAUCUUGAAGUGACAUCUUAACCACUGUACCAUAUUCUAUAGUCCAGCCAACACUAGGGCAUGGAUACCAGUAGGCAGGAAUUUGGGCCUCCUCAAAGGUGCCUACCCCAGGGAUAAACUGUAAUUACUUGUUUUCUUCCUUUUCCCCAGUGAAUAAGGUACUCCAUAAAGGUGGUGAGACUGUCUUGCUCAUUGUAGUAUCCCUAGCACUGGAUACAGUGUCUGACACUUAAAAUAGCUCAAAGUUUCCCUGAAGGAAAAAAGUAACGAAAGAAGAAUGGAAGGGAAUGAGCGAGGGAAGGAAGGAAGGAAGCCAAGUGAAAAGAUGAGACCAGGAUGAUCUGCUAAUUUUUAGAGAGCACGGGAUGUUUGCUUGUUGCUUGGAAAUGCUGGAGACUGAACCUAGGACUUUGUGCAUGCUGGGCAAGCACUCGACCCCUGAGCUGCAUCCCCAGCUCCAGGGGAUGACUUUUUAGGGAAGGAAAGCUCAACCAUAAGGAGCAUUCUAGGGAGCAGAGUCAGUACUGUCUCUUCCCUUAUUCUGGACAUAAAUGAGCUUCCAGGGAAAUGGAAGCAACUCAGAGAAGAGACAACACCCCCCACCCUGCUCCCAAGAUAGACUGCGUGGAUAAUGAGCAGUUGACCUUCAAAACAAUACAGCAGUCACCCAUGGAGAAACCACCCUAGUUGGAGUCCUUAAUUGUAGAGAAAUGGGCUCUUCUCUAAUUGCUAGUGAUGAUGAACAUUUUUUCAUGUAUGUGUUGAUUGAUUGUACAUCAUCUUCUGGGAAGUGUCUCUUUAGGUCCUUGGCCCAUUUAUUGAUUUUUUUUUUUUUUUUGGUGUUUAGCUUUUUGAGUUCUUUAUAUACUCUAGAGAUUAGUGCUCUAUCUGAUGUGUGAGGGGUAAAGAUUUGCUCCCAAGAUGUAGGCUCUCUAUUCACUUCACAGAUUGUUUCUUUUGCUGAGAAAAAACUUUUUAGUUUGAGUCCACCCCAUUUAUUGAUUCUUGAUUUUAACUCUUACAUCACAGGAGUCGAAUAAAAAAGAAUAAAAUCAUGGCAUUUGCAGGUAAAUGGACGGAGUUGGAGAAGAUAAGGCUAAGUGUAGUUAGCCAAUCCCAAAAAACCAAAUGCCGAAUGUUUUCUCUGAUAUAAGGAGGCUGAUUCAUAGUGGGAUAGGGAGAGGGAGCAUAGGAGGAAUAGAUGAACUAUAGAUAGGGCAGAGGGGUUGGAGGGGAAGGGAGGGGGCAUGGGGUUAUUAAUGAUGAUGGAAUGCGAUGAUCAUUAUUAUCCAAAGUAAUGUAUGAAGACCGAAUUGGUUAGUUGGCCCUGUUGCUUUGGCCCAGCAAGGAGUGUGUGGUGGAGCAGAGCCAUCCACUCUUUGCAGGAAAUCAAGAGAGAAAACAGAGCAAAGAAUCCCACAAUCCUCCACCCCACCCCUAACCCCCUCCUUUUUUUUUUGGUACCAGAGAUUGAACUCAGGGGCACUCAACCACUGACCCACCUCCCCAGUGGCGUAAAACAACAGUUUUAUUUUUUGCUCAUAUCCAUCAUGACUUAACUGGAGGUUUUGUUCCAUGUUGUUCCAUUGAAAUGAUUAACAUGGAACAUGGAAUUUCUUUCUCAACGUCUGAGACUGCCUAUUUCCAUACCUUUGCUGAGACAAGGUUUUAGGUAUCUCUGUAAAGUUGCCAAGCUAAUCCAUGAAAAAAUAGAAUUUAUUGUUGUAUUAAUUACCUAUUGUAGUCAUCAAUGCUCUCCAUCAAAUAACUGACUCUCCUUUUAAAAUUCUCUUCAAACACAAAGAAGGAUUGAAUAUCAUGGCCCUUAGUGUUAGGUGGGGUCCAUGUGACAUGUUCUGAUCAGUAAGUUGUGCAUAGGAAGGGCAUGCCUUCCUUCUGGGCUGAGUAUUCCAGAGCUGGUGCAAGAUCCUUCAGAGCCCUCUUGUAUGCCUGCAAAUGAUUACUAGCAGUGUUUCAGAAAGUAGCCCAUGUCUCAUAAUUGAUUAAGGUGGAAAAUUAACUCCAUGUUAAUCGUUUUAGUUAAGCCAUGAUGGAUAUGAACAAAAAAUAAAACCAUUAUUUUAAGCCACUAAAAUUUGGGGUUGAGUGUUAUAGCAGCAUUACCUAGACAAUCUAACUAAAACAUUAAAUAUCUUUGAUUAUUACCAAGAUUCAACCCAUUUUCUUAUGUCUAUUGACUUCCCUUUUUGUGAUUUUUCUGUUCAUGUCUUUACAUGUAUACUUUUUAAGCUUACGACCCUCAGCUACACAGUUGUUAAGGUUGGGCAUGAUGGUUGUUGAGGUAUUAUUAAGGAGAAAGAUUCAAAUCUGUGAAAUACAACAUAAAGGUCUACCAUAGAUAAUAGACCUAAAUGUCACAGGCCAAUAUUCCUUAAUGGGAAUUUAUGGAAUCUGUUUUCAAGGAUUUGCAAAUAUCUCACCUCAAAAUAUUUUUGUUUGUUUGUUUGUCUUUUUAAGUGAUGUGUUUUCACUUCAAUGAUAAUGUCAAAAAAUUAACAUAACUAUAUUCUGGAUCAUUAGAAUGGCUACUUUCUACCUGCUAUUUAUCUUUGUGACCCAACUAGUUUCUUAUGGGUGUUAAGUAUCCAUACUUUUAUGCACACUGACUAGUAAGAAAAGAAUAAAUGUGGACCUUAUACAUAAGUAAUGAUUUUUGUACCAAGGUGCGUGUGUGUGGUGGUGGUGGUGGUGGGAAUGAUGUCUGAGCAUAUCAUCCACUUUAAGAACAGAGGUUUCACAGAGAAAAAGUAAAGAAAAGUGUGAAAGUGUUGAGUCAUCUUGUAGUCUGCAUCAGCAGAAGCAGGCUCUACCCAGAAAGUCUGGCACAGCACUUGGCACCAUUCUUACAUUGUCAUUUGUCUCAGUUAUGGCCCUUUGCUUGCAAACGACAGGAACAGAUUCUAUCAAACUGGAGCAAUAAAGAGCUGACUCGGAUCAUUCAAGACCAUGCAGAAUUUAAAACAAAACAAUAAGAACAAAACAAAUUAAAAAAAAAAAAAGCAAACCCAACAACCUAAACAAACCAGACUUAGAAAGAACCACACCAAGGGACCUCCAGGGAUCUCAGUACCAGGAAUUCCUGGAUGAGUCUAUUUUGGAGGCUGCCAGUAGGAUGACUCAGCCCCAAUCUUCUUUCUGUGUGUCUUCAUGUUGUAGAGUCCAAUGCCUGACUUCAUUGGGUCAUAUGCUUUCGAUUCAGCUGUGGUGGAGGAGAAAAUGUUUGGAAUUCCCAAAUGCACAAGACAUCCAGAUGCCUGAUUGGAGGGGGGAAAAAAGUUACAUAUUCUCCAAAUAUGUGCAAGACAUUAAGACACUUUUUUUUUCUAGAAGUUGUCUAUGGGAUUUGAUCUUUUCUGGGUAGAGGAGUACUCUUAUAAAAGACUUUUCUUAUCAUAUAAAGCAGACUAAAAUGAAUAUCCGGAGAAGUAUUCAGGAAAAACAUAAAUUAAAAGAGCAACGCCUAGGCUAAGGAGAAUGUUUAAAAAGGAAGUACUUCUCCAUGAAGAGAAGGGAGGAAAGGAAGGAAGACAGAUAGAGCUGAUUCUGGCUGUGUGAGGCAGUCUUGGUCAUAUUCAAAGGAACAACUGCCUUAUAUGGUCAAAAGGGAAUUUAACUCUUUGCUUAGACUCUUGGCAAAGUAUUAAACUUUUUAAUAUAGUUCCAAACCCUUUAAAAUACAGGUUUGUGGGCUGGAGUGUAGCUCAGUGGUAGAUUACUUGCCUAGCAUGCAGAGAUCCCCAGCACCAGAAAGAAAGAAAUAUACUUUAGACACUUUUCUUGCUACUGAGUUCUAUCAUGUACUCUAUAAGAUUUUCUUUUCCUUUUUUUUUUUUUUUUGUACUGAGGAUUAAAGUCUGGGGUGCAUUACCACUGAGCUACAUCUCUAGACCUUUUUAUUUGUUGUUUUAUCUUAAGACCAGAUCUCACUAAGUUGCUUAGGGGCUAGCUAAAUUGUUGAUACUGGCCUUGAACUCUCCAUCCUCUUUCCUUAGCCUCCUGAGUUGCUGGGAUUAAAAGCAUGUGCUACCACGCUGCUGUCAUGCACUCUGAAGUGGCUUUCCAAAAGCAUUUUUCCCACUCUACUUCAGGAAGCUGAGCUUGAUCUCCUUAGUGGUGCUUCUGUUCCUUAUAUCAAUUGAAUACCUCUGGAUUCUUUUUUAAAACCAUACCUUAUAAUCUAGCUUCAGCUUCUGCACAACGAAGUCCUCAGGAAAUAACCCAGAAAACAACACAGGGGCUCUAUAAUGAGUGGGAUUCCUUUCUCAUUGCCCUGGAAAAAUAAUUAUAUGUUACUAGCAUUUUUUUUCACUUUCUUUUAAUUCUGAAUAUUUUCUAAUUUCCCUGUGAAUUCCUUUUUAAAACAAUUUUUUUUUAGUUGUGGAUGGGCACAAUAACUUUAUUUAUUUUUAUGUGGUGCUGNUCUCCCUUUCCCUCCCACCUCUCAUCCCUGUUUAAUGUUAAUCUUCUUCUCAUGCUCUUCGUCCCUACUCUGUUCUUAAUUACUCUCCUUAUAUCAAAGAAGACAUUUGGGGCAUUUGUUUUUUAGGGAUUGGCUAGCUUCACUUAGCAUAAAUUAUCACUAUUUGCAGAUGACAUGAUUCUAUACCUAGCAGACCCAAAAGGGUCUACAAAGAAACUAUUAGAGCUAAUAAAUGAAUUCAGCAAAGUGGCAGAAUAUAAAACCUCUCCUUGCUUCUUGAUCACCAUGAUGUGAGCUGCUUUCUUCUGUCACACACUCUGCCGUGACGUUCAGCCUCAUCUUGAGCCCCGAGAAAUGGAGCCAGCCUUCUAUAGACUGAGAACUCUGAAACCGCUGAGCCACACUGAGCCCUCAAAUAAAUUUUUCCUCCUCUAUAGUUGUUCUGGUCAGAUUCUUUAGUCACAGCAGGGAAAAAAAAAAGCUGACUAAAACAGAAAUACAUUACAAUAGAGUAUGUUUUGACAUAUUGCUGAGAGCCAUAGCCAAGUAGGUAUGACGCAUGGCAUUUUGGGUUGAAAGGUGACCCCAGCAAGCCAUUGAGAUGAUAAUGAUUACGUUAAGAUGUGCAUUCAAUUGGAGAUUAGACCCCUGCUGUCCGCCUCAGCCUGCAACUUUGGAGCUCUCCUGGGACUCCGGGAGAGUUCCCAUUGGUUGGGGAAGUGCGGUAGGAGGGAAUUCCGGAGGAGGAAUUUCCUGUUGGUGUGGUGUGUCCUGGGAGAAGGCCGCGUGCGUGGCAUUCGGGGGAGUUUUGAAAAUAAAGUUUGUGCUUGAGUGGCUCGUGAUUUUGUGCCCAGCCAGACUGCGGCAACAUAUUAUACAUACAUGGAAUAUAAUUUCACAUUCUUGAGGUUGUACAUGAUGUCAAGUUACAUUGGUCACGUAUUCAUAUAUGAACAUAGGAAAGUUAUGUUCGAUUCAUUCUACUGUCUUUCCUAUUCCCAUCCCCUCUCUUCCCUUCAUUCCUCUUUGUCUAAUCUAAUGAACUUCUAUCCCCUGCCCCCUUAUUGUGUGUUAGCACCCACAUAUCAGAGAGAAUAUUCAGGCUUUGGUUUUUUUGUGGAAUUGGCUUAUUUCACUGAUCCCCAACUUUUUAGAGCAAUUAGAACUUUAAAUAGAAUUUCAUAUUGACCUUUCAUUUAUGACAUUUCCAGCACUCUUUAUUUCUUUCUGUAACUCCACAUUUGUCUGAUAUAAUAUCACUUCUGCAUGAACAGAUUCCUGUAACAUUUUUAGGAGCACGGGUCUGCUUAUAAUUCAUCCUUUUGGUCUUGGCUUGUUGAAAAAUGUCUUCAUUUACCCUUAAUUUUUGAGUUGAUUUGCAUAGAUCCUGACAACAUGACCACAGCACCUCUUAUCUUUGUCUCUAUAAUGGGUGGUUGUUUUUUUUUUCUGGCUGACUUCAAGAUUUUUCUGUAUAUUUGGCUUUCAGUAGACUGAAUUGAAUGUGUCUAGUGUUGGUUUUGUUUGUGGAACGGCUGUUUCUUAGAGCGGUCCUUUUCAGACUUUAAGGUGCUUGUCCCAUCUCCCAGGUUCCUGUUGGAAUACAGAUUUGAUUGAAUGGUCUGUGCUCAGACCUAACUUUCUGCAUUUCAAACAAGCUACUUAUCCUUCUUGGGUGCGAGGGUCGGUGUCUCGUGCAUGGGUGUGUCUUGCUACAGUCCCAUGGGUGAAGCUAUGCUCACCUGUUCCUCUGUAAUAUAACCCCUUGCCCUGUUUAGGAUAGAAUCUUCCAUGGAAGUGCCUUGUGUGUGUCCCCUUCUCUUACUGUGCCCUUGGGUGUGGCCUACCUAGGUGUCAGUCAACCUGCUGACAGUGCACAUCAUGAAGAUAGAUUCAGCCCCCUGAAACCUGACCCCUUGCCUCAUUUAAAUAACUUCUCCUCAAUAAAAGGGGUCAGCGCAUGCUCUUACUCUCUCUCUCUCUCUCUCUCUCUCUUUCUGUGGACCCUUAAGGUCAGAGGAGCCAUCACAAUGACCCCAAAGAAAAAGGUAUUUGUGUCUCUUGUGUGGUUAUUUCAUGCAGCCCAGUUAGCCCAGUUUAUCUGGAGUGACCCCUGAGCCUUUUAGUAGGGAGAACAGAAACCAGGCACAUCAGAUAGGGUGUUAAUACCUCACCCAAUUGCCAUAUUUCUGGGCUGUAUUACCAGUACCUUUAGUGUGACAGCCACUGAGGGAGCUACCCUCUCCGAACAUGUGUAAAUGAUGACCCCAAAGGAGAGAGACAAGAGCCUAGGAGGCUGAAGGAACUGUUGGUUUUGGACAAGGAGAAAAGACAGCCAUAGGAAAGAUACAAGUCAUAAGCAGGAUAAAUAGCAAGAGACCAUGAAACAGAGUCCAGUACCAAAGGGAAGGCCAUUAGGGGCAUGACCUGGAAGUGGACACAACACAUCUAUUCACAUCCCAUAUGGCAAAAAGUGAAUCCCAUGGCCGGAUUUAGCUGCCAGAAAGACCAAGAAGGAUUUACUUUAGCUAGGAAAUCAUGUGCACUUCCAAAACUUCGUAGUAUUAAAAGAGAACAGAUUAUCCCGACGGCUGACAGUCUUUGCCACAACAAUGCGUAGGACUCCCUCUAUGGCCAGAUCAUGCCUGCAGGCUGAAGAACAUUUCCCCUACCUUCAGCAAGAGCUGAAUGUUGGGUACUGACCAAAUGAAGCAGAGUUUCUGACUGUGAUUGGGAUUGAACACAUCACAGACAAUUUGUUCCACACUCUCUAUACUGCUAAAUUGCCUCCAGAAAUAUACCCAUAUUGUGCUUAUAUCCCCUAUAUUCUAAAGCACAAGGCCUGUCCAUUGGAGCUAAGUAGAUUCUCCAUUAUCCCUCCCAACUUUGGUCCUAGAUAAACAGAUCUUUCAGAAACAAAGUUCUUGAUACUUAGAUGUCUCCCUGAUAUAGUAACAGUAACUGUGUUGGAACUAAAUUUUCUGGCACAAAAUUUAGAUGCUUGCCUUGUCAAAAAACUAACCAUCAUUCAUUCAUAGGGAGGCAGCAUCAAGGAUCAGUGACAGGUCUCUGUGGAAGUACUCAAGUAAUACCAAGUUGAACAAAUCUAGUCGCCUCCGGGACCUGGAAAACCAAUACUUCAGCACUUGCUUUUUUAUGAGACAGGAAGAAUAGUUUUAUAGUGGCCAGGUUUUUACCUGGGUUGAAUGCACUUCAUAAAUCUCCAAUUACAACUUUUUUUUCUUUUUCCAAAUAGAACUUCCGAACCAUUGUAUGUAACUAACGAAGACCCUUUGAAAAAACUACUCCCAAAUAUUCUAGGGAAUUGACAACACAAUGGUUGGUUGACAUCUAACUAGCAUUAACUUACACUCAAGAUGUCAUAUUAUAAUUUCAAUUAUUAAAAAUAUCUUAACACUAGAUACAAAAAUAAAGUCAGAAAGGCAUAUACAGGAAAGCAAACAUGACUAAAGAAUCAUAUAUCUUGUUAUGAGAAACAAAGGAAUAACAUCCCCAUUUUAUAAAUAGCUCUAUAAAUUAAAAUGAAAGAUAACCACUAGAAUUCGUAGAAGGCAAACAAAGGAUAUGAAUAAGAAAUGCAAAUGGCCAAUAAUAAGUCUGAGGAAAAAAAUCAACCUCACUAAUUGCUUAGAAAUGUAUAUUUAGCAGGGUGUAGUGACUCAUGGCUAUAAUUCCAGCAACUCAGGAGGCUAAGGUGGGAGGAUUACAAGUUCAAGGCCAACCUAGGUAACUUGGGGAGACUCUGUCUCAAAAUAAAACAACAACAAGAGGUCUUGGGGGUGUAGCUCAGUAGUAAAGUGCUCCCAGUUUUGAUCCCUAGUACCAAAAAAAAGUAUAUGUAAAUUCUUAUGAAUUAUUACUCUAGAAAAUUUCAAAAAAUUAAAAAAUUAUAGUACAAAUUGUUACCGAGAAUUUGGGUUUUGUUUUGUUUUGUUUUGGUACCAGGGAUUGAACUCAGGGGAACUUGACCACUGAGCCACAUCUCCAGCCCUAUUUUGUAUUUUAUUUAGAGACAGGGUCUCACUGAGUUGCUUAGCACUUAGCUUUUGCUGAAGCUGGCUUUGAACUCACAAUCCUCCUGCCUCAGCCUCCCAAGCUGCUGGGAUUACAGUUGUGCACCACCAUGCCUAGAGUCAAGGGAAUUUUUAAUAGCACAAACAGGGCUAGUGGUAUAGCUUAGUUGGUACAAUGUUUGCCUAGCAUUGCAUGAGGCCCUGGGUUCAAUCCCCAAUACUACCAGAAAACAACAACAACAACAAAAAGACAAAAACAAUAGUCAACAUGUAUUAUUAUGCAUAAAAUCAAUUGCAUAAGAAUUAUUUUUGCAUAAAAUUAAUAAUUUAUUCCAUAUAUAGGUUUUAUUUGAAAAACUUAGAGACUUAAAGAUAAGGGAUCCUUCUUAUAGGCACUAAUAGUGUAUUUUUUUAAAAAAAAUUUGUUUUAGUUGUAAAUGAACACAAUAUCUUUAUUUUUAUUUAUUUAUUUUUAUGUAGUGCUGAGGAUCAAACCCAAGGCCUUACACAUGCGAGGCAAGCGCUUCUAUCACCAAGCUACAACCCCAGUCCAUAAUAGUAUAAUUUUUACUACAGAAAUGUCCUAAGAAAAAAACACUGCUAUUCUUUUAUAUUAUUUUUUACUGAGAAAUAAUUCAUUUUAAAUAGUAUAAAAUUUAUUGUUAAAAAGUACAAUUCAGUGGCUUUUAGAAUAUUCACAGACCUCUGCAACAAUAACAACUAACUAAUUCUGCAAAUUUUCACCUCCUCCAUUAGUCAAAAGUUACUGUUUCCCCCUCCAUCCAACUAGAAACCACUAAUCUACUUUCUGUCUCCAGAGACUGGCGUAUCGAAGAAAUUUUUUAUGUAUGGAAUCAUAUAAUAUGUGGCCUUUUAUGUCUUGCUUCUUUCACGUAGCCUAAUGUUUUCAAGGUUCACACACAUUAUAGAAUGGAUAAAUGCUUCAUUCUUUUUUUUUUUAAUUUUUAAAAUUUUUAUUUGUUCUAAUUAAUUUUACAUGACAGCAAUAUGCUUUUCAAUUGAUUGUACACAAAUAGAAUACAAUUUUUCACUUCUCUGGUUGUCCAUGAAGUAAGGUCACACCAUUUGUUCAAUCAUACGUGCACCUAGGGUAAUGAUGUCCGUCUCAUUCCAUAAUCUUUUCUACCCCCAUUCCCCCUCCCCUCCCCUCCUUUUCUUUGCCCAAUCCAAAGUUCCUUCACUAGUUCCAUGCACUACCACCACCACCCCCAUUAUGUAUUAGCAUCCACUUAUCAGAGAAAACAUUUGACCUUUGGGUUUUCGGGAUUGGCUACUUUGCUUAGCAUGAUAUUCUUUAACUCCAUUCAUUUAUUUAUCCUUUAUUUUAUUCUCUUUUAAUGCUGUGUAAUAUCCCAUUGUGUAUAUAUGCCACAGUUUCUUUAUCCAUUCAUCUAUAGAAUGGCAUCUAGGUUGGUUCCAUAGUUUGGGAAUUGUUAAUUGUGCUGCUAUAAACAUUGAUGUGGCUGUGUCCCUGUAGUAUGCUGUUUUUAAGUCCUUUGGGUAUAGACCAAGGAGUGGGAUAUAAAUGCUUCAUUCUUUUUAUGGCUGAAGAAAAUUCUAUUGUAUGGAUAGAGAACAUUUUCUUGAUUCAUGGGUAUUUGGGUGUUUUCUAGUUUGGGCUAUUAUAAAUAAUAUCACUAUGAACAUGAUAUACAUGGCCAUAUGUGGACAUAAGUUCUCCUUGUUUAAUUAGUUUGGUGGUUAGCUAAUGAUUGGACAAAGAUUUCCUUAAAUGCUAGAACCAAUAAUUCUUCCCCUCUGUGUCAAGGGGCUCUGUGAGCAUGUAGGAACACACAUUUAACACUCAAUCAGUUUUCUACUCUGCCUUAGCCUUCACUCCCUGCCAUUGUAGGCCCUCAAGAUUAGUCACAGGUGAGAAUUCAGGGCCUUCAUUCUUUCCUGAGCUUGAGUGAAGCCCUGGGCUACUACACAUGAUUCCAUUCACGAGUAUAGGUCCCCUGUCCCCAGGAAUGCAUCAGAAUAUUUCAAAGCCCUCUAUGGACAUGUUGUUUCUGUUUUUCUUUUUAAACUUUUUUUUUUAUUAGCCUAUUGUUUGCCCCAUUGAUUCUCUCCCUGCAGAGGCAAUCACAAUAGUAAAGAAUUGCCUCUGAUUAUGUUUAAUAAACACCUCUGGAGAAGAGGCUUUUGCAUUGUAUGAGCCACAACUCAAAUCAAAUAAAGAUUACCUUGCAAAUGACGGCUCCAAAAAUAUCACAAGACAGGUUAAAUAAUGACCGUUCUCUGGAAAUGGGACUGAGACGGAGCUUCAACACCAUUUUGCCACUUCAGUGGCUGCCACACUGCUGGUUUCCAUUGUGACCAUGGGCUGUUGGUUUUCAAGACUCCUGCAGAACUGCAAAGUGGAGAAUGGAAAUAGAAUAACUUGAGAUGCAGCAGAUCUCACUCUUACGGGAAUUCAACCAUUUUUCUCUAAUCAAUGUUUCCCAAUGUUUGGUUAUUUUCUAGAGUUCUGGAAAACUCUAUUCUAACAAUUUUUGCACUGUUCAUUGUUUUUGUGGAGGAGAGGAAUUUGAGGGGUCUUUACUGCAUCAUUUCAGUGAUGUCACUGUCUAGUAACCUCUGAUACAAGUAUAACCAACAAUUCUAUGGAUUAGCAGUAUUACAGUUAGUCAUCAAUUAUCUCUGAGUUUCCAAGUCAUUUAAAUUAUUUUUCUGUCCCUUUAUUUUCUCCAAGGUCUUUGCUUUCCUUUUUUUAUAUUAAGUAAAAUGCUUGCUGCUUCUACUUGAAGUUGCUUCUACAUCAAGUUCUUUCUAUCCAGGAGAAUCAGCUGUUCCACAGUAUUGGAACAAAUGGAUCUUUGAGGAUCAGAAACUAAGUAGUAUGAAGGCAGAGUUGCCGGAUUACCUAAUACAAAUAGAGGAUAGCUGGUUAAAUUUGAACUUCAGAUAACAACAACAGCAAAUUCAAAGUUGCCUUGGUGUCUAGUAUUUUAUGUGAAGACUACAUUGUAAGUAAGUUGUAAAUAGAGAUGACCUAUAAAGGAAUUCUCAGAUGGCUCAAUUGAUAUUCUUUAUUUUCUUUACUAUUAAGCUACACUGAAGCCCUUUCUAAUCCUUAAGAGAUGAACAGUUUUGACUAAUACAGGUUUAGAUAUGCCAGUCUGGCACAGCACAAUCCUAUCUGUGUUUUUCAUUCAUUCAACAAACAUAUUUAUGAUGGUCUACUAACCAGGUCUUAUAGUCUAUCCACCUAGAGUUUUAGGUUCAGCUCAGCUCCUGGGAAAAUACAAACAUAAACCAAAUAUGCUCAUGGAAGGUCUCAAAAAACCAGAACACCUAAAUCAGGAGAACAAAUUUAGUCAGUAAGGUUAAGGAUUUUCAGAUAGAUGAUAAAUAGAUAAUAGGUAGAGAUAGAUUAAUGAAUUUAGGUACUGUGAUUGAAUGCCAUGAUAUAGUUAGUUCCAUAACAUAAAAUUUAUUAUUCACCAACAACAACCAACUACCAAACUGACUUGUACAGAGAGUUGGUAAUUUGGAAUCUCAUUGUCACUGGACACUCAAGAAAGGCUCAGAUAAAAAUAAUUUCUCAAAAAAGAUGUUGUAGGGCUGAGGGUAUGGCUCAGUUGGUAGAGUGCUUGUCUAGCAUGUACAAGUCCCUGGGUUCAAUCCCCAGCAUCACCAAAAAAAAAAAAAAAAAAGGUGUUGCAGCAAAGUAUGGAAAAAUAUGUAUACACCCUCCAGACAUAGGUAAGUCUUUGAAGAAUCUCUUUGAGCCUCAAAAGCGUAUUUUUGCCCCUGGUAACAUACAAUUUUAACCCACUACAAUCCUCUUACUUGAUCAUUCAAGAAAUAAUUCCACCCAUUAUUUUUUAAAUGGGGUAAAAAAGCAAAUGUAACCCCAUCUUGUUUUAAGAGUAUAAAAACAGAUAAAUGCAAUUUAAUAAAUAGUGUUCUCUUAAUUGCCGCAGUCUGGCUGGGCACAAAUGCCGCAGUCUGGCUGGGCACACAAUCACGAGCCACCACACAGCUUGUAGAUUCAAACAGCAACUCUUUAUUCCCGAACUCACACCAGCCGUCUACAAUCAUGUUCUGGGGAAAUCCACGUUCUCUGCCCAAAUCCACCUCCACUGGGCUUCUGUCUCCCAAAAUAUACUGUCUGAAUCCCGUGAGAACUCAAGGGGAACUCAGGCAGUAGGAUACGCCCUAUUCCCAGCAGGAAUAAUCUUAAACCUUAAACCUGGAACCUAAACCGGGAACGCCCUAAACACGAUUAUCUUAAAACCGGGAACACCCUAAUCUCUGUCUCNNNNNNNNNNNNNNNNNNNNNNNNNNNNNNNNNNNNNNNNNNNNNNNNNNNNNNNNNNNNNNNNNNNNNNNNNNNNNNNNNNNNNNNNNNNNNNNNNNNNNNNNNNNNNNNNNNNNNNNNNNNNNNNNNNNNNNNNNNNNNNNNNNNNNNNNNNNNNNNNNNNNNNNNNNNNNNNNNNNNNNNNNNNNNNNNNNNNNNNNNNNNNNNNNNNNNNNNNNNNNNNNNNNNNNNNNNNNNNNNNNNNNNNNNNNNNNNNNNNNNNNNNNNNNNNNNNNNNNNNNNNNNNNNNNNNNNNNNNNNNNNNNNNNNNNNNNNNNNNNNNNNNNNNNNNNNNNNNNNNNNNNNNNNNNNNNNNNNNNNNNNNNNNNNNNNNNNNNNNNNNNNNNNNNNNNNNNNNNNNNNNNNNNNNNNNNNNNNNNNNNNNNNNNNNNNNNNNNNNNNNNNNNNNNNNNNNNNNNGAAGAGGAGGAGGAGGAGGAGGAGGAGGAGGAGGAGGAGAAGGAGAGGGAGAGGGAGAGGGAGAGGGAGAGGGAAGAAGAAGAAGAAGAAAGAAUUUCAAAGUAUUCUUAAGAAAUCAGGACCCAUGGCCAGGCAUGGUGGUGUACUUUUGGGAGGCUGAAGCAGGAGGAUUGCAAGUUCAAGGCCAGCCUGGGCAGUUUAGUGAGACUCUGACUCAAAAUAAAAAAUAAAAAAAGGGUUGGGAAUGUGGCUUAGUGGUUAGGCACCCGUGGGUUCAAUCCUCAGAACCAAAAAAAAAAAAAGAAAAGAAAAGAAAUUGGGAUCCAUAGUACAAGGUGAUUCCUAUAGUAUUUCCAACUCUAAAUGCUUUUUCAGAUUAACCAUUUGUUGAUCACCCACUCUGUCUAGCAUCAUGCCAUCAUCUGUCUUUUCAGAAUUCAUUCAUCUUUGAGUAUCACUCACUCAUUUUACCUUACAACUGCAAUUGGCAACUUUGAUCAUGGAAACAAGCCUGAAGAGCCCAAUUGUAUUUGCCAAUCUUUCUUUGUACCCCUGCUGCCUAAAUGAGCACACUCUGUUUCUCUCUGGUUUCUGUGCUGGUCAGCUUCUCAUCACUACAAUGAAGAACCUGAGAUAAAUAACUGAUAAAUAGAAAAGGGUUGUUUAGCUCACAGUUUUGGAGCUUCCCAGUGAACCCAUUGCUUUGGACCUCUGGUGAGCAUGCUGGAUGGCAGUAGUGGGGAGCGCAUGGCAGAACUGCUUACCUUAUGGCCUGAAAACAAGACAGAGAUGAAGGGGUCAGGACCCCAAAAUUCCCUUUGGGGCACACCCUGGAUGACCUGAGACCUCCCACUGGUCCCUACCUCCACAUGGUUCCCCCUAGGGACCAAGUCUUUAACAUAUAGGUCUUUGAUGGAUAUUCAACAUUCAAAUUAUAGCAGCUGCUUUUUAAGACACUGCCUCCAUCUAUUGUCACAGGACUAGCAACAUCAUGAGACACUGUGGUUUGGAGAGAUAAACAGGAGUGUGCCCCCCAUGAUCCAGACCCAUUCAAUGUCCAGGAGGGUCAAGCUGCCCACAAAACAGCAGUUUAUGUAGAACAAGGUUGAAAGUGACAUUUUCAACCUCUAAUGGCUCCAGCACUCCCUGUUAUUAAAAAUCUAACCAGAAUUCUUCUCUCAGCUGCUCAGUAUCCUGAAUGUAAGUCCAACAUGGAGAAGAGAGACAGCAUCCAAUGUUCAUAAAAAUGGAAUCUAUUUUCUUGCUUCUACCUGCUGCUGAGAAUAAUAGGAGCCCUCUGCACAGGCUGAGAAAUAUGAGCUCUAAAGAGCUGAAAAGACCACCCACUCAAACUAUUAAUAUGUUUAGCAAGGCUACUACCUCGCCACCUGACACUGGGUUGACCAGAUUUCCUAAGAUUGCCAUUCCAUAGUCUUCUAAUUGGGCUAAGGCUGGGCAGUGGCAAGAGUGCACCUUUCUUUAUGGUAUCCAUGUGGGGUAGCUCAAUAUACAGCAUGUGGGAGACAAAUCAAAAACAGAGAUUUGGGUACUUGGGGUCAGAGUGCUCAUGGUCAUACCUCAACAUACAGUUUAUAUACCUGUCUCCUCUUCAUUCAAAUCUGCUCUAAAUCACCUUCUUAUGGAGUUCCACCAGGACUAGUCUGUUGAAGACAGUUUGCUCCACUGCUCCCAUCACUCUCAAGUUCACCCUCUUGUUUCUUAUCUUUGGUGUACUGAUCACUGAUCUUUAUUUUAUUUAUUUAUGUAUUUAUUUUGAUGGUGGUGCUGGAGAUGAAACCCGGGAUCUUGUGCAUGCUAAAAAGUGCUCUGCCACUGUGAUACAUACCCAGCCAAGCAUCUCUUUUUAAAACCUAGAGGUUAGUGUUCUUAUCUCUUUGUAAGAAAGUGAGCUUCUCGCUGGGCAUGGUGGCGCAUGCCUAUAGUAGCAGUGAUUCAGGAGGCUGAGGCAGGAGGAUUGCAAGUUCAAGGCUGGCUUUAGCAACUUAGUGAGGACCUAAGAAAUUUAGCAAGACCUUGUCUCAAAAUAAUAACCAAAAAGGACUGGGUAUUGGCUCAGAGGUUAAGCACCCCUGGGUUCAAUCCCCAGUACGGAAGGAAGGAAGGAAGGAAGAGAAUGGGAGCUUCCUGAGAGCAGAAAGUGCUUAUAAAGUGCUUAUAAAGGGGGCUGGCAACUAGUAGUGAGUCAACAAAUGUCUCUGAAUAAAUGAAUAUGUAUGUGUGUGUGUGUGUGUGUGUGUGUAUGACUACAAUAUAUAAUAUAUAAAAAUUAAUAUAUAAUACAUACAUGAAUGUGUGCAUAUGAUGCAAAUCUUAAAAACAUGAACUCCUCAAUGUAGUAGGUGAAGAAAAGACACCAAGAGCUAGAGAAAAUAUCCCUUUAUUAAAUCUUCCUCGCCUGUUAAAGAUCCACUGCUCCCAUUAAGGGAGGCAGCAUCAAAAGAGAAAAAAGGAAGCCAAUUCUUGGCUUCUAUGCCUUCUGAUAACUUAAAGUAUUUUCAUGAAUAAUUUUGACAAAUGGGACCUACCUUUCUCUCUCUCUCUCUCUCUCUCUCUCUCUCUCUCUCUCUUUCUUUCUUUUUUUUGCCUUAGGUGCCUUUAUUAGAACUUCACCACCGAGAUGUAGCUUCUUGAAGUCAUAAAAAUGGCCUACAGAGGGUGCUAGUUCACUUCAAAAGACUGAAAUGAGGGAAGAGUUUUCUUUCAGGCCUGGGAAGAGUUUAUAAAGCAAGUAGAGAAAGGGCCCAGUAAAAACAGAACAUUAAAGCAAAGAAGAAGAAGAAGAAGAAGAAGAAGAGGAGGAGGAGGAGGAGGAGGAGGAGGAGGAGGAGGAAGAAGAAAGUGAUCUAUGAAAAUACCAGGGGUAUUUGAAGACCUCCCUGAGGAAAAGAAUUCAUCACUCUUCAAAUGUGAAGAGAACCUUGCUGGGUGCAGCUAUAAUUCCAAAGCAGGGAAAGUUGACAGGUCCCUGCUACAUUCCACCCAGGCUUGAGGCUAGGCCUUGGGGACUUCAAGACCAAGUGUGAGAUGCCUGGAAGAUUGUCCAUGGAGGGUGUCCUCACAGACCCCUAACUGAGCACAUCAUUCCUGAAAUUGACUCUCGCUUUCAGCGUUUAACAAGAGGUAGUGCACACCGAGGUGGGCCAAGGCAGAUUAUUGUUGAGAGUUUUUGAAAUAUGUAGUUUGUCACAGCAGGGACAAGGAUGUUGGCAGUUGGGAGGAGCCUCUUCAACAUCUGGAUCUGCCAAGAAAUCCUGCUGAGAGGGAACAGAACUGCUCUCAUGAAAGCUUUUGAGUGUGCAACAGUCGGGGCAGCUCUGAGCGUCUGUCCAGAGCUAAGGUCCAGGCUGGGGCUCAUGACCCGAGUACUGCAGCCAUCACACUGCAGUGAUGAGAUUCACACUUUUCAAAGAAAAGUUUUACUGUAAGUGCUGUGACACUUCUUACCAUUAUGUAUGGUAUUUGCACUUAUCUCUUCAUGCUUUGGUCAGUUCAAGGUGGCCCAGUCACUUUACUGUGACAUUUCAUAGCUAAACUUUAAACAAAAAUCAAUAAAGGGCAAGGAAUGGGUUUGUGAAAACAAUCAGAUACUUCCCUCAACUUAAUGGAAAAGUUAGUCAAAUCAGUUUGGCACUGGCCUCCUGAGCCGGUGGAGCCGAAGGACACUGGAAAACUUCAGCAGCGUCCUCAGAAACAGUUUCCUCCUGACCUCCAGCCCUUCUGUCUCCUCCUCUUCUCUCUGAAGGCUGAACAUAGAAGCUAAGAGCUCCUCUUCCCCAAGCAGAUCUCAGAAACUAGAGCCCUUCCCAAAGCCAGCAGAAAGACCUAGAAAGGAUCCUCUAGCCUCCUCCCCUUUCUGUGUAGGGGCUGGCUGGCAAUAAAUCCUCAGCUCCACCUUGCGUGAUGGUGGGAUAAGAUCCUCUUCCAGAACAGGCCCUGCCCCACAGCCAGGAGAAAGGAAUGGCCUGCAGAGGGACCCAGAGGCACCAAACAGGGGGUCCUGCUGAGUAUCUCCCAACCCCCAACUAGUCUCUUGCCUGGAGGUCAGAUCCCUUUUGUCUAAUCACAUUUCUACCCAGCCAUCCAUUCUUCAUUGAAGAACAAAACAGACAGUUAUCUCUGGAUCUUUAGGCCUUCAUUUCUGAAGGUUCCUGUGUCACCAAAAAAAAAAAAAAAAAAAAAACACCUCAAAUUAAAUGAAGCUGUUAUGUCUUUCUUUUGUUAUAGGGUGUCAACCAUGACCCAGUCACCAUGGGA
rnacentral:lncRNA from 1 species